rnacentral:rRNA from 1 species
CCAAUAGCGUAUAUUAAAGUUGUUGCAGUUAAAAAGCUCGUAGUUGAAUUUCGGGAUCAAAUUGUCGGUCGUGCCUCGGUACGUACUGGCGUUAUUGGUUCCUCCCUUCUGAAGAACCGCGAUGUCAUUAAUUUGGUGUCGCGGGGAAUCAGGACUGUUACUUUGAAAAAAUUAGAGUGUUUAAAGCAGGCUCGCGCUUGAAUACAUUAGCAUGGAAUAAUGAAAUAGGACGUUUGAUUCUAUUUUGUUGGUUUCUAGGAUCGACGUAAUGAUUAAUAGGGAUAGUUGGGGGCAUUAGUAUUCAAUUGUCAGAGGUGAAAUUCUUGGAUUUAUUGAAGACUAACUACUGCGAAAGCAUUUGCCAAGGAUGUUUUCAUUAAUCAAGAACGAAAGUUAGGGGAUCGAAGACGAUCAGAUACCGUCGUAGUCUUAACCAUAAACUAUGCCGACUAGGGAUCGGAUGAUGUUAAUUUUUAAUGACUCAUUCGGCGCCUUACGGGAACCUACGAGACGGGCGUGCGAGGACGCGA